rnacentral:rRNA from 1 species
UACGUAGGGGGCAAGCGUUGUCCGGAAUUAUUGGGCGUAAAGGGCUCGUAGGCGGUUUGUCGCGUCGGGAGUGAAAACCUUGGGCUUAACUCAGGGCUUGCUUUCGAUACGGGCAGACUAGAGGUAUGCAGGGGAGAACGGAAGUUCCUGGUGUAGCGGUGGAAAUGCGCAGAUAUCAGGAGGAACACCGGUGGCGAAGGCGGUCUCUGGGCAUGAUCUGACGCUGAGGAGCGAAAGUGUGGGGAGCGAACAGG